rnacentral:misc_RNA from 1 species
UAAGAUUGUAGCAGCAUUUGGAAAAGAUAUCUUGCAAGCUAAUGGAGAAGCUGAUAGGGCAAAACUGGCUAGAUUUUGUUCUCUGAUCCUGCAAAAGAUCAACUUCUUUAUCAGUAUUGAUAGUGUGAUCGGGUGUUUGAUCAACAAUAAAAGUUUUAUAGUUUAUAACCUCUGUAUGAUAAUGAAGGCAUGUAGCAAUACUUAAUUUAUUUAGUUCAAUAGAGGCG